rnacentral:rRNA from 1 species
CCUACGGGAGACAGCAGUAGGGAAUCUUGCACAAUGGGCGAAAGCCUGAUGCAGCGACGCCGCGUGAGGGAUGAAGGCCUUCGGGAUGUAAAGCUCUUUCAGCAGCGAGGAAAAUGAUGGUAAUUUAUGACUAAGGAGCGGCUAAAAACGUGCGAGCGGCGGCGGUCAUACGUAGGAGGCGAGCAUUAUCCGGAGUGACUGGGUGUGAAAAGGGGCGCGGGGGGUAUAAUAAGUAGCUGGUGGAAUCGGGGGGCCCAAACACCCGGACUAUUUGUUAAACUGUUGAGCUGGAGAGCGUGAGAGGUAGGUGGAAUUUCUAGUGUAGCGGUGAAAUGCGUAGAUAUUAGGAGGAACACCAGUGGCGAAGGCAGGUUGCUGGAACGGGACUGACGCUGAGGCACGAAAGCGUAGGGAGCAAACAGGAUUAGAUACCCCAGUAGUC